rnacentral:rRNA from 1 species
GAUGAACGCUGGCGGCGUGCUUAACACAUGCAAGUCGAACGGAAAGGCCCAAGCUUGCUUGGGUGCUCGAGUGGCGAACGGGUGAGUAACACGUGGGUGAUCUGCCCUGCACUUUGGGAUAAGCCUGGGAAACUGGGUCUAAUACCGGAUAGGACCAUCGUUUAGUGUCGGUGGUGGAAAGUUUUUCGGUGUGGGAUGAGCUCGCGGCCUAUCAGCUUGUUGGUGGGGUAAUGGCCUACCAAGGCGUCGACGGGUAGCCGGCCUGAGAGGGUGUACGGCCACAUUGGGACUGAGAUACGGCCCAGACUCCUACGGGAGGCAGCAGUGGGGAAUAUUGCACAAUGGGCGCAAGCCUGAUGCAGCGACGCCGCGUGGGGGAUGACGGCCUUCGGGUUGGAAACUCCUUUCGCCAAGGACGAAGCGUUUUGUGACGGUACUUGGAGAAGAAGCACCGGCUAACUACGUG